rnacentral:rRNA from 1 species
AUUGAACGCUGGCGGCAGGCUUAACACAUGCAAGUCGAACGAGUGGCGGACGGGUUAGUAAUGUCUGGGAAACUGCCUGAUGGAGGGGGAUAACUACUGGACACGGUAGCUAAUACCGCAUACCAUCGGAUGUGCCCAGAUGGGAUUAGCUAGUAGGUGGGGUAAAGGCUCACCUAGGCGACGAUCCCUAGCUGGUCUGAGAGGAUGACCAGCCACAAGGAAACUGAGACACGAUCCAGACUCCUACGGGAGGCAGCAGUGGGGAAUAUGGAACAAUGGGGGCAAGCAUGAUGCAGCCAUGCAGGGGGUAUGAAGAAGGCCUUCGGGUGGUAAAGAACUUUCAGCGAGGAGGCGUUAGCAGCAGAAGAAGCACCGGCUAACUCCGUGCCAGCAGCCGCGGUAAUUC